ACAUCACUUUUUUCUCUCAAUUUUUCAUUUAUAAUCAGACCGAUACAAUCUCCCUCUAACCUUCGAUUAGGGCUUUUCUAUGAAUAAUAACUUCUCUUCGACGCCGUACCUCCGCCGCCGCGUUCGCCUCCACCUCCGCCUCCGCCAUUGCCGCUAAUGCCGAGCCGGCAUCUCUGUUGCUACUUCUUCCCUCAUGAUCGAACUAAUCAUUGUGAAGACAAAUUGAAAAAGGCGAAAAUCUUUCAACUCUGCAGGUGUUUUGAAUCACCCGUGGAUUGCGUGACAGGAUGCUUUCGAAGAAUUUGGUUACCGAAAUACUUGUGCAAUCUUCCCCGAGACCAAAAUGACACUAAACAGAUUCUCGUGUAUAGCAUUAGCUAGUGGCAACAGAGUUUCUGUAUGGUACUGCAGAAGGAGGCCUUUCAGAUAUCAACACGUUGCUGGAUGGCAGAAAAUAUAGGCAUUUUUUAUGGCCAAGAAGAGCGGAAGCAAUUAAGUCAGGGAGGACUUGCCAUGGUUCAGUUGUUGGAAUGGUUUGAUAUAUCUUACGCCAUUUCAAUAUUUUUUCAUAAAUAUAUGAUGAGUUAAUUUUAUCCAGCCUUGCUAUCUGAUUUCAAAAUUUUUAUGCCGACUGCUACUUUAUCACUGAAAACUAUAUGAUGAACUUUACAAAUUAGGGGAUUAAGAUCAAAGAUUGGCAGCAAUAAAGGGCCUGCUCUAUUGUAUCGAAAUGUUCUGUUUCACCUAGUAAAGUUAUUGGAUUGCUACUGACAAUAUGCCUAUAUCCAGGUUAGGUUAGCAUCGUAAUUGUGGGUUGCAACAUUGUUUGCCGAAUAUCAGAAAAAAUCUCAAAAAGACUUUCUUGUUCUCAUUGUCAUAUGUGCUGAACCACUUUUUCUGGGGUUUUAGAAUUUCAUGGUCUUUUGCACAAAAAAAGUUGUAUACAACAAGUUUUAUAAGCUUUAGAAACAUGAAUUUUGCUUACUCAGGAACACUAACUUUUUUUUUUCUUCUUUGAUUGUUCAGGAACACAUUUUACAUUGGAGCAUGGGAGCAAGGACAUUUUGUUGAACUAAGGAUAUGUAGACUUUGAAAGUAAAUGUAUUGUGUAGGUUACUUCAAGUGUUGUUUUGAAGAUAGAUUUUUUGAAGUUUGGUAUUGUAUAUUUUUGGAAAGCAAUAAUUCAUGUUUUGGGGAAUCCGAGUGAUUUUUAGCAUGUGUUUAUAUUCGUAUUGGAAAAUUAUACGAAUUUUUGGCAUGCGGUUAAAUUUUUGUAAA